AACGCACCUUGCGCCCCUUGGCAUUCCGAGGGGCACACCCGUUUGAGUGUCAGUGAACAUCCUCAACCUGCUUCGUUCUAUCGACCAGUAGGCUUGGAUAUUGGAGGUUUUUCUGCUGGCUUCCUCUGAAGCCAGCUCCUCUUAAAUCUAUCAGUGGGAUCCGCUUUGCUAGAUCCUCGACGUUGAUAAGAUGUUUCUACGUCUUGGGUUUCGCUCGGGAAGGACCUGCUUCUAACCGUCCCCAUCGGGGACAAUGUUCGAGAGCCGAUCGCCCUUCACGGGGUGCGAAGCUUUUCGACCCAUGAAACCUUGACCUCAAAUCGGGUGAGACUACCCGCUGAACUUAA
rnacentral:misc_RNA from 1 species